GAUUGUUGUGGCUCAAUGGAAGAGCACCUGCUUGUAAUGCAGAAGGAGCCGGGUUCAAUCCCUAGUGGCAUCU